rnacentral:rRNA from 1 species
GAAAAUAUUUUAUUAAAAAUAAUUAUAAAAUUUUUAGUUGAGUAAUGUAUAAUAAAAAAAUUAUUUAAAUUAUAGUGUAUUAGUAUUGUGAAAGAAAAUUGAAAUAAUUUGAAAAAUUAUUAAUUAAAAAGAAAAUUUUAUUUAUUGUACCUUUUGUAUCAGGGUGAAUCUAUAAAAAAUAAAUUAUUUUAUUUUCUCGAUUUUAAAAGAGUUAAUAAAUUAUGAAAGUUAAUGUAGCAAAAUUAUUUUAAAUAAUUUAUUAGAAAUGAAAUGUUAUUCGUUUUUAAAGGUAUCUAGUUUUUUUAGAAAUAAAUUUAAUUUAGAAAUAAUAUAUUUAAUAUUUAAUUUUUGAAAUGUUAAAUUAUUUUAUUUUAAUAUUUUAUGGGAUAAGCUAUAAAAUAAUAUUAAAAAUUUUUAAGUCAAAAUAAUAAAUAUAUGCUUAUAACUAGCAAGUAUUAAUAAUUAUGUUAUAAUUUAUUUUUUAAGUUUAUGAUUUAAUUUAUUUUAAUUUAUUAUAAAAAUAUAAUUUUUAAUUUUUAAAAAUUAGAAAUAAUGAUUUAAUUAGUAUAUUUUAAAGUAUAAAUAAUUUUUAUUGAGAGGUUUAUUUAAAGAAUUCGGCAAAUUAAUAUUCACCUGUUUAACAAAAACAUGUCUUUUAGAAAUUAAUUUAAAGUCUGACCUGCCCACUGAGGAUUUAAAUGGCCGCAGUAUUCUAACUGUGCAAAGGUAGCAUAAUCAUUAGUCUUUUAAUUGAAGGCUGGAAUGAAUGGUUGAAUGAAAUAUUAACUGUUUCAAAUAAAUUUAUAAUAGAAUUUUAUUUUUUAGUCAAAAAGCUAAAAUUAUAUUAAAAGACGAGAAGACCCUAUAAAUCUUUAUAUUUUAUUAAUUUUAAUUAUUUAGAAAAUUUAUAUUAUAAUUAUGAAAAUAUUUUAUUGGGGUGAUAUUAAAAUUUAAUAAACUUUUAAUUGUUUAUUUACAUUGAUUAAUGAAUUUUUGAUCCAUAUUUUAUGAUUAAAAAAUUAAGUUACUUUAGGGAUAACAGCGUAAUUUUUUUAGAGAGUUCAUAUUGAUAAAAAAGAUUGCGACCUCGAUGUUGGAUUAAGAUAUAGAUUUAGGUGCAGAAGUUUAAAUCUUAAGUCUGUUCGACUUUUAAAAUCUUACAUGAUCUGAGUUCAGACCGGCGUAAGCCAGGUUGGUUUCUAUCUUUAAUAAAUAAUUAUAUUUUAGUACGAAAGGACCAAAUAUAAAAAUUAAAAAUUUUAAAUAUUGAAUAUUAUUAAU